AAAAAGAAGAGAUGCUCUCUGUGUGAAAGAAAAAUGAAAAUGAGAAAAGGUGGCAACACAAGAGAUGGAUAUCGCUGGGUGUGUCGAAGACAUAAUAGAUUCAUGUCCAAAUCCAUAAGAGAUGGGUCUAUUUUCUCAGGCUCUCGCUCCUCCUUGACUUCUUGGAUGAUGUUCAUGCAUAGGUUUGCACAAGGGCUAAGACUGAGGCAAGUGGACUUAAUUGAAGAGGGAGUCUGUGGAAGCAGCCGCACUUUGUCCAAGAUGUCCAAGACACUAAGGAGGGUGUGUGUGCAAGCAGUUAAGCACCUGAAGAGGAGGGGGAAAAUGAGAAUAGGUGGAAGACAUGGUUUUGUUGUCAUUGAUGAGAGCAAGUUUUGUCACAAGAGAAAGUAUGCACGCGGGCGAUUUGGUGCUACUUGGCGCAGGAGAGGCUGGGUUUUUGGAUUGUUGGAAGUCAAUCAACGGAGAAGGAGGCCUGUGUUGAAAUUUGUUCGCAGACGAAAUUCUGAAAGACUACUUCCUAUUAUACAGCGAUAUGUUAGACCUGCAAGUAC